CUGGCUCAGAACGAACGCUGGUGGCGUGUCUUAUACAUGCAAGUCGAGCGAGGCAGCAAUGCCGAGCGGCGAACGGGUGAGUAACGCGUAAGCAAUCUGCCCCAUAUCAGGAAAUACCCGUGCCAACGCGCGGUUAAUGUCCAGGAGAGUGGCCCCCUGCAUGGGGGGUUGACUAGAGAUUUAUCGGUAUGGGAUGAGCUUGCGUCCGAUUAGCUAGUUGGCGGGGCAACGGCCCACCAAGGCGACGAUCGGUAGCCGGCCUGAGAGGGUGAUCGGCCACAUUGGGACUGAGAUACGGCCCAGACUCCUACGGGAGGCAGCAGUAGGGAAUAUUGCACAAUGGGGGAAACCCUGAUGCAGCAACGCCACGUGUGGGAAGAAGCAUUUCGGUGUGUAAACCACUGUCAUGAGGGAAUAAGGCCCGCCUUCGGGCGGGAUUGAAUGUACCUUGAGAGGAAGCACCGGCAAACUUCGUGCCAGCCGCCGC
rnacentral:rRNA from 1 species